UAUUAUAUACUUGAUCUUGAUUUCCUACGUGGAUAACUGUGGCAAUUCUAGAGCUAAUACAUGCACCAAAGCUCCGACUUUUUGACGAGCGCAUCUAUUAGAUUAAAACCAAUCGGGUCUUGACCCGUCAAUUGGUGACUCUGAAUAACUAUGGCUGAUCGCAUGGUCUUGUACCGGCGACGUGUCUAUCAAGUGUCUGCCUUAUCAACUGUCGAUGGUAGUUUAUGUGCCUACCAUGGUUGUAACGGGUAACGGAGAAUAAGGGUUCGACUCCGGAGAGGGAGCCUGAGAAACGGCUACCACAUCCAAGGAAGGCAGCAGGCGCGCAAAUUACCCACUCUCGGCAUGAGGAGGUAGUGACGAAAAAUAACGAGACCGUUCUCUAUGAGGCCGGUUAUCGGAAUGGGUACAAUUUAAAUCCGUUAACGAGGAUCUAUGAGAGGGCAAGUCUGGUGCCAGCAGCCGCGGUAAUUCCAGCUCUCAAAGUGUAUAUCGUCAUUGCUGCGGUUAAAAAGCUCGUAGUUGGAUCUGCGCCUCAGGACUUGGUCCGCCCACUGGGCGAGAACUGGGCUCCUGGGCUAGUACUGUUGGUUUUCCCUACGUUGCCUUCACCGGUCGCGUAGGGUGGCUAGCGAGUUUACUUUGAAAAAAUUAGAGUGCUUCACGCGGGCUUUUGUCUGAAUACUCGUGCAUGGAAUAAUGGAAUAGGAUCUCGGUUCUAUUUUGUUGGUUUUCUGAUCUGAGAUAAUGGUUAAGAGGGACGGACGGGGGCAUUCGUAUCGCUGCGUGAGAGGUGAAAUUCUUGGACCGUAGCGAGACGACCGACUGCGAAAGCAUUUGCCAAGAAUGUCUUCAUUAAUCAAGAACGAAAGUCAGAGGUUCGAA
rnacentral:rRNA from 1 species